UACGAAGGGGGCUAGCGUUGCUCGGAAUCACUGGGCGUAAAGGGUGCGUAGGCGGGUCUUUAAGUCAGGGGUGAAAUCCUGGAGCUCAACUCCAGAACUGCCUUUGAUACUGGCGAUCUUGAGUCCGGGAGAGGUGAGUGGAACUGCGAGUGUAGAGGUGAAAUUCGUAGAUAUUCGCAAGAACACCAGUGGCGAAGGCGGCUCACUGGCCCGGUACUGACGCUGAGGUGCGAAAGCAUGGGGAGCAAACAGG
rnacentral:rRNA from 1 species